UACACACCGCCCGUCACAUCAUGGGAGUUGGUUUUACCCGAAGCCGCUGGCUUAACCGCAAGGGGAGAGGCGUCUAAGGUAAGGCUGAAUGACUGGGAUG
rnacentral:rRNA from 1 species